rnacentral:tRNA from 1 species
GGUCCUAUCGUCUAGCGGUUAGGACAUGGCCUUCUCAAGGCUAAAACACGGGUUCGACUCCCGUUGGGACUACCA